rnacentral:rRNA from 1 species
UACGUAGGGUGCAAGCGUUAAUCGGAAUUACGUGGCGUAAAGCGUGCGCAGGCGGUUUUGUAAGUCUGUCGUGAAAGCCCCGGGCUUAACCUGGGAAUUGCGAUGGAGACUGCAAGGCUUGAAUCUGGCAGAGGGGGGUAGAAUUCCACGUGUAGCAGUGAAAUGCGUAGAGAUGUGGAGGAACACCGAUGGCGAAGGCAGCCCCCUGGGUCAAGAUUGACGCUCAUGCACGAAAGCGUGGGGAGCAAACAGG